rnacentral:rRNA from 1 species
GUGAAAUUGUUGAAAGGGAAGCGCUUGCAGCCAGACUUGCCUGUAGUUGCUCAUCCGGGCUUUUUGCCCGGUGCAUUCUUCUGUAGGCAGGCCAGCAUCAGUUUGGGCGGUUGGAUAAAGGUCUCUGUCAUGUACCUCCUUUCGGGGAGGCCUUAUAGGGGAGGCGACAUGCAACCAGCCUGGACUGAGGUCCGCGCAUCUGCUAGGAUGCUGGCGUAAUGGCUGUAAGCGGCCCGUCUUGAAACACGGACCAAGGAGUCUAACAUCUAUGCGAGUGUUUGGGUGUCAAGCCCAAGCGCGCAAUGAAAGUGAACGGAGGUGGGAUCCCUUUAGGGUGCACCAUCGACCGAUCCUGAUGUCUUCGGAUGGAUUUGAGUAAGAGCAUGGCUGUUGGGACCCGAAAGAUGGUGAACUAUGCUUGAAUAGGGUGAAGCCAGAGGAAACUCUGGUGGAGGCUCGCAGCGGUUCUGACGUGCAAAUCGAUCGUCAAAUUUGGGCAUAGGGGCGAAAGACUAAUCGAACUAUCUAGUAGCUGGUUCCUGCCGAAGUUUCCCUCAGGAUAGCAGUAACGUAUUCAGUUUUAUGAGGUAAAGCGAAUGAUUAGAGGCCUGGGGGUUGAAACAACCUUCACCUAUUCUCAAACUUUAAAUAUGUAAGAAGUCCUUGUUGCUUAAUUGAACGUGGACACUUGAAUGUACCGUUACUAGUGGGCCAUUUUUGGUAAGCAGAACUGGCGAUGCGGGAUGAACCGAACGCGGGGUUAAGGUGCCAGAAUGCACGCUCAUCAGACACCACAAAAGGUGUUAGUUCAUCUAG